GGUAUGUAAAGCCCUAUCAGCAGGGAAGAUAAUGACGGUACCUGACUAAGAAGCACCGGCUAAAUACGUGCCAGCAGCCGCGGUAAUACGUAUGGUGCAAGCGUUAUCCGGAUUUACUGGGUGUAAAGGGAGCGCAGGCGGUGCGGCAAGUCUGAUGUGAAAGCCCGGGGCUCAACCCCGGUACUGCAUUGGAAACUGUCGUACUAGAGUGUCGGAGGGGUAAGCGGAAUUCCUGGUGUAGCGGUGAAAUGCGUAGAUAUUAGGAGGAACACCAGUGGCGAAGGCGGCUUACUGGACGAUAACUGACGCUGAGGCUCGAAAGCGUGGGGAGCAAACAGGAUUAGAUACCCUGGUAGUCCACGCCGUAAA
rnacentral:rRNA from 1 species